GCAGGCGUAGCUCAGUUGGUAGAGCAUCAGCCUUCCAAGCUGAGGGUCGCGGGUUCGAGUCUCGUCGCCUGCU
rnacentral:tRNA from 1 species